GGUAAUUUUGCAACGUUUUGACGUCCCGGGAACUUACGUACAAAACGUUAAAGCCAGCCCCUUGCUCUCCGCCCCAUUGUACAGGGUUGGCAAGAGUAGACAGUGACUCCCCUUUGUGUAUUGGCACAGACAAGAGACUUGCCAACCUGUCAGAAGCAAAGCAACGGUCCCAGCUCUACUUACCCACUGCCAGCCCCUGCCUUGGCGCCCAGUAACCAGAAGAGUGAAAACACCUUGAAUGUCUGGAGCUGAAUAAGUCCCAGAACUGGACAUACUUAUCAGCAGGACUAUGAAGUCAGCUGCCUUCUGCUCCUAAUUUUGUUUGGCCUGGAUGACACUUGAAGGAUCAGAAUUUGGAGCGUCGUCUUCUGCCUGCGUCCUGAGGCCCUGCGCCAAACCUAGUGGCCUCCCAGGUGCUCCUCAGCCGCCUGCUUUAAAUAGCUUCCUCUCGCUAACGGUUAAUAUGAGGCCUGGAUGGAACAGAGCUUAUGUAAGCUGGCCAACCUUUUCGCCCACUUAGCUGUUCCAACCAAGAGUGGGAGCAUGCUUCUUCUCCUGCCAACAGGAGGCGCCCAACAUUUGUCUUCUGAGAGGCUCAGGGGAGCUCUGGGAACCACUUACCGGUCCCUGGUGGGUCUUAUGCUGGUCGCACACCCUUAGACUGUUGUGGAACGCAACCUAGACAUCAGGAUGUUUAACGCUCCCCAUGUGAUCUUGAUGUUCAGCCAAGAUUGAGAAUCACGGCCCCAGAGCCUCUCUGCCUUCCUCUACCAGCCGCUGGUGGGCUCUUUCUAGGCGCUAAGCACCAGCCUCCCCUUCUGGAUUCACCUCUUACACAGAGCAGCAGCAUUUCCAAGCUUCUCAGUUGUGCCUGUACCUCCUGUACAAUUUCGCCCUAGCUACAAACUGCCUAUUAUUUACCUUCAACACAACUCACUUUUAAAUAUUAACGCCAUUCUAGGCACAUA